rnacentral:tRNA from 1 species
CAAGUUAGAGCUUUAAGCAUUUUAUUUACAUUAAAAAGAUAAUUGG